UGACGGAGCAACGCCGCGUGAGUGACGAAGGCCUUCGGGUCGUAAAGCUCUGUUGUUAGGGAAGAACAAGUACCGUUCGAAUAGGGCGGUACCUUGACGGUACCUAACCAGAAAGCCACGGCUAACUACGUGCCAGCAGCCGCGGUAAUACGUAGGUGGCAAGCGUUGUCCGGAAUUAUUGGGCGUAAAGCGCGCGCAGGCGGUCUCUUAAGUCUGAUGUGAAAGCCCACGGCUCAACCGUGGAGGGCCAUUGGAAACUGGGGGACUUGAGUGCAGAAGAGGAGAGUGGAAUUCCACGUGUAGCGGUGAAAUGCGUAGAUAUGUGGAGGAACACCAGUGGCGAAGGCGGCUCUCUGGUCUGUAACUGACGCUGAGGCGCGAAAGCGUGGGGAGCAAACAGGAUUAGAUACCCUGGUAGUCCACGCCGUAAACGAUGAGUGCUAGGUGUUGGGGGGUUCCACCCUCAGUGCUGAAGUUAACACAUUAAGCACUCCGCCUGGGGAGUACGACCGCAAGGUUGAAACUCAAAGGAAUUGACGGGGGCCCGCACAAGCAGUGGAGCAUGUGGUUUAAUUCGAAGCAACGCGAAGAACCUUACCAGGUCUUGACAUCCUCUGCCACUCCUAGAGAUAGGACGUUCCCCUUCGGGGGACAGAGUGACAGGUGGUGCAUGGUUGUCGUCAGCUCGUGUCGUGAGAUGUUGGGUUAAGUCCCGCAACGAGCGCAACCCUUGAUCUUAGUUGCCAGCAUUCAGUUGGGCACUCUAAGGUGACUGCCGGUGACAAACCGGAGGAAGGUGG
rnacentral:rRNA from 1 species